ACCAAUGGGCUUCCGGGCUCGGCCGCCGGUGGGGCGCGGGAGGCGGAAGUGCGGUGGGCAUCCGCCUCCGUCCCGGCUGCGGCCCCAGCCUGUUACAUAACGCUUUUCGGACUGCGAGUGGUCUCGGGUCUCAUCUCCCUUCGCCCUCAGGAUGCACUGAGCCCUGCGACGCCGCCCGUGGCUGCGGCCGGCUCCCGCCAGAGGUGUGAAUGACAGAAGUGGUGCCAUCCAGUGCCCUCAGUGAGGUCAGCCUGCGUCUUCUCUGCCAUGAUGACAUAGACACCGUGAAGCACCUGUGCAGUGACUGGUUCCCCAUCGAGUACCCAGACUCAUGGUAUCGUGAUAUCACAUCCAACAAGAAGUUCUUCUCCCUUGCUGCCACCUAUAGAGGCGCCAUCGUGGGAAUGAUAGUAGCUGAAAUUAAGAGCAGGACCAAAAUACAUAAAGAGGAUGGAGAUAUUCUAGCCUCCAACUUCUCUGUGGACACACAGGUUGCAUACAUUCUAAGUCUGGGAGUAGUGAAGGAAUUCAGAAAGCACGGCAUAGGUUCCCUUUUACUUGAAAGUUUAAAGGAUCACAUAUCAACCACUGCCCAGGACCACUGCAAAGCCAUCUACCUGCACGUCCUCACCACCAACAACACGGCAAUAAACUUCUAUGAAAACAGAGACUUUAGGCAGCAUCACUAUCUGCCUUAUUACUACUCCAUCCGAGGGGUUCUCAAAGAUGGCUUCACUUAUGUCCUCUACAUCAAUGGUGGCCACCCUCCCUGGACUAUCUUAGACUACAUCCAGCAUCUGGGUUCAGCACUCGCCAACCUGAGCCCCUGCUCCAUCCCGCACAGGAUCUACCGCCAGGCCCACAGCCUGCUCUGCAGCUUUCUACCGUGGUCCGGGAUCUCCACCAAGGGUGGCAUUGAGUACAGCCGCACCAUGUGAUGCCAGUGGGGCAGGCUUCACCAGGCUCCACACUUUACCACCCUGCAGAGCCUACCUUUUUGUCCACCUGAUCUCUGCUGCUCUCUACAAGGAGCUGGCAGCCACUUGCCAGCCUGUUGGCCUGCCUGCCCCAGCUGCAGGCACCUUGACUCUACUAUUUGCUUCUGGAAACUUCUGCCUUCACCUAAUGCACUGGUCCUGCCUCCAUACACUUACACCAGGCCUCUGCCAUUGCAAUGCCCUCCCGUCAACUCCUUCCUGCAAAGCCAGACUGAACUUUCUGCUGCAAAGGAGAAAUAGUUUGUGGACACCAUUGAACUUGAAGA